GAUGGUUGGUUGUCGUAAUUCACGUCAAUAUUGCAUCCAAUGUCAUAUGGCAUCCAAUGUCAUAUGCUUCCGGCCGGCCCAGUGACGCGACGGACAGCUUUUGAUGCCACGAAGCAAUCGGACCGCCGGAAUGGAAAGAUGGCGCGGUGCCAUCGACUGCUCGUGUUUGUAGCGAACAUUUUCAUGAUUGCGAUUACGAAUGGGACGCUGAAUCUCUUCAACGUACUGGAUAACGAGCUCAGUGUCUUUUGAAUCAAGGUGUAGCACCAUCACAAUACCUGUCCUCACCGGGGAAAGAACAUCCGCCUCAACGGCGCAGAAGUGUAACUUCCUCAGCGGAGCCUGAAACCCCCGAGGGCGACCCAUGUGUAUGGCAGCUGAAGUCUUCCACCAGGGUAACAUGCCAGAAAAGCUACGGCAAGUGCUCUGCAGUUCACCUCUAAAAUAAAUAAACCUAAGUUUGAUGCACUAUGUCCUCAGGAAAUUUUGUUCCUGCUACAACACUGCACUUUGUUUUACAUUACCAAA